UACAGAAGGUGCGAGCGUUAAUCGGAAUUACUGGGCGUAAAGGGUGCGUAGGUGGUUUUGUAAGUUAGGUGUGAAAGUCCCGGGCUUAACCUGGGGAUUGCGCCUGAUACUGCAAAGCUAGAGUACUGUAGAGGAAAGUGGAAUUUCCAGUGUAGCGGUGAAAUGCGUAGAUAUUGGAAGGAACAUCAGUGGCGAAAGCGAACUUCUGGACAGAUACUGACACUGAGGCACGAAAGCGUGGGGAGCAACGGGG
rnacentral:rRNA from 1 species